rnacentral:rRNA from 1 species
ACUAAGUGAGCUACUCUAGGACAGCUUAAUGGGCCAACCCGUCUCUGUUGCAAAAGAGUGGGAAGAUCUUAGAGUAGAGAUGAUAUAUCUAGCGAACUUAGCGAUAGCUGGUUACUCAGGAAAAGAAUUUUAGUUCAACCUAAAACUACAAUAAUAUUAAAAAAUAUAGACCUAGUUUUAGAGCAAAUCAUAUAGGUAACAGCCUAUCUGAAACAGGAUACAGCCUCCACCUGUGGGUAAUGUUAUACUUAAAUAACUAAGUAGGCCUAAAAGCAGCCAACUUUAAAAUAGCGUCAAAGCUUAAUUAUUAUACCCAAUUAAUACCAUAAACAAAUCAAAACCCCACCCCCAUACUGAGUAAUUCCAUACAUCUAUGGAAAUUAUAAUGUUAAAACUAGUAACAUGAAGAUUCCCUUCUCUUAAAUGUAAGUAUAAGCCAGAAUGGAAAACACACUGACAAUUAACAGCCUAAACCAAAGUAAUAAAUUACCUAAGAAAAUCUUACUAACAUAUCUGUU